UCCCUGGUGGUCCAGUGGUUAGGACUCUGCACUUGCACUGCUGGGGCCCAGGUUUGAUACCUGCUCGGGGAA